UAAUUUACUCCGAAAUCAAGAUAUUGCCGCUCUUCUUCCCACAUCCAUCUUCUGAUGAUUAUGUUCUUCUUCGUUGAUUCAAUCCAGUCUCCUUCCUUCAAAAGGUUUGAUCUUUUUUUAUGUUUAUAUCAAUAUUAUUGCGAUUAGGGUUUCCUCUGGUUCAAUCGAUUUCUCCAGCUAUUCCUUCGAUGUUUGAACUUGAUCUUUUUAUCAUCACAAAUGUUAGAUUUCAUAUAUUAAUUUAUUAUCAUACUUGAUUUACUUAAACAUUUUGAUUAUUCUUUACUUUGUUUUGUAUCUCGCAUCGAUAAUCAACCAUCUUCUCCAUGUGGCAUCGACGGCGCCACCGGCACUGAACCCUCUACGGCGGAUUAUUCUCUCAUCAAAAGUCGCAAAAUCAUUUUUUUACGGCGGUUUAAUCAAUCGAUUGUUGCUUCAGUGCGAGAGUCUUCCUGUGUGAAGACUAUGGAUUCGCAAAAGGCAAUAGAGGUGGAGUGAACGGCUAACGAAGUUAGGGAUUUUGUGUUUUUGUAUUAUAAUAGUUCAUAUAAGCAUGAAGAUGAGAAACAUGAAAAUGAUCACGUUACUCAUUCUAACGUGUUGGACUCUGGACAGAUUACACAGGCUGAUGUGGAAGAGGCUACAAUUAUUGCCUUUGACAUGAUUCUAGAAAACAAGAUGGUUAAACCAGAGAGUAGAGGUACACUUAUCAAGUUCAUGCAACUAAUGGUGUCUCAUCAUCUUUCCAGAAGGUUAGAAGACGUUUUGUCGUCGCAACUCGCAGUACGAAUGAUACCAGAGGCUUCAGUUGUGGUUUAUGGGUUCUGUUACAUUCAAUCUCGGUGAGAAUGGAAACCGGAGAAAGUCAAAUGGCGUUUACAACUACUUGCGUAUCAGACUUUAUUACCUUAAUGCAUGAGUAAAAAUAAAAGAUAAGAAAUUCUUAUCCUUCUUUUCAAUUUUCUUAUUCUAAUAAGUUUCUAAUUCAAUACGGCAUUCUAGGGCGAUAGCUGCGGCUAGCUGUUUGUUUGGUGCACUUGCUUGGUUUUGGCGGUCACGACAGAAGAACCGGAAGCCAAGAAGAAGUUGAAGCUGAUGAGACCGGGAUAUAGUUGGUGUGCAAAAGCAAAGAUGAGAGUGUGGUGAGGGAGCAGUAAUAGUGUUGGGAGAUCUUGCAGAUGCACUUGGUUCAAAUGUGAAGAUGAUAUUCAGAUAUAUGACAUUCUAUGUACAAGUUCAAUGUUCUGGGUGAGUCAGGUCAAGGCAAGGAAAUAUCAUAUGAGCUCGAAACCGGUACCGGUACCGAAUUUCCCAGCUGAUCGGCGUGCCGAAUUUGAGCAGCUGGAGUAUACAGAUGAUGAUUAUCAAAAGGAACUUGAGGAUAUUGAGAAGGUUUUUGUCCCCUUGGUUGAAAAAUGCAAGAAAUACGGAAGAGCGAUGGGCAUUGGAACAAAUCACGGGAGUCUUUCAGAUCGUAUCAUGAGUUACUUUGGUGAUUCUCCUAGGGGAAUGGUUGAAUCUGCAUUUGAGUUUGCAAGAAUCUGCAGGAAAUUAGACUUCCAUAACUUUGUAUUUUCAAUGAAAGCAAGCAAUCCUGUGAUUAUGGUUCAAGCAUAUCGUCUUCUUGUAGCCGAAAUGUAUGUUCAGGGUUGGGACUAUCCUUUGCAUUUGGGAGUCACCGAAGCUGGUGAGGGUGAAGAUGGACGUAUGAAAUCCGCAAUCGGUAUCGGGACACUUCUUCAGGAUGGUCUUGGUGAUACUGUAAGAGUUUAUUCGCUUACCGAACCUUCAGAGGAAGAAAUAGACCCGUGUAGGAAAUUAGCCAAUCUUGGUAUGAAAGCAUCCCAAAUUUUACAAGGGGUGGUAUCUCCAUAACAAGUUGACAGGAUCCAUUCCUCCUGAGCUCGGGAAUAUGUCGAAGCUCCAUUACCUGGAACUGAAUGAUAAUCAGCUUACAUGUUAUAUUCCACCGGAGCUUGGAAAACUCACCGACCUGUUUGACCUGUAAAUUCUGCAAUUCCCAAUUAUUUAACCUGAUUCUGUUUUUCUCUUUCGGAAGUUAAUUAUGGUGUGUGAUUCUAGGAAGAAAAAAUUAGGAAACUUUAAACAUGAUGAGUUAGGCUUGAACUUCGGUGAAGAGGAUUAUGGUAUAUGAUGGUUAUGGCGAUGGUUUUCUUCAUAUGUCAUAUUUAGUUAAUCUGGUUAUUAUUUAUUAUUUUGAUUCAUGUUAAUCUGAAUUCGCGUUUCGUUUCGAUC